rnacentral:snoRNA from 1 species
UGCAGUGAUGAUUCAAUAGUCUCUGAUGACAACAUGAAGCUCUUCACAUUUCUCUGAGCA